GAUGAACGCUGGCGGCGUGCCUAAUACAUGCAAGUCGAGCGAACGGACGAGAAGCUUGCUUUUCUGAUGUUAGCGGCGGACGGGUGAGUAACACGUGGAUAACCUACCUAUAAGACUGGGAUAACUUCGGGAAACCGGAGCUAAUACCGGAUAAUAUUUUGAACCGCAUGGUUCAAAAGUGAAAGACGGUCUUUCUGUCACUUAUAGAUGUAUCCGCGCUGCAUUAGCUAGUUGGUAAGGUAACGGCUUACCAAGGCAACGAUGCAUAGCCGACCUGAGAGGGUGAUCGGCCACACUGGAACUGAGACACGGUCCAGACUCCUACGGGAGGCAGCAGUAGGGAAUCUUCCGCAAUGGGCGAAAGCCUGACGGAGCAACGCCGCGUGAGUGAUGAAGGUCUUCGGAUCGUAAAACUCUGUUAUUAGGGAAGAACAUAUGUGUAAGUAACUGUGCACAUCUUGACGGUACCUAAUCAGAAAGCCACGGCUAACUACGUG
rnacentral:rRNA from 1 species